rnacentral:rRNA from 1 species
ACUCAAAUGAAUAGACGGGUCCCCGCACAAGCGGCGGAGCAUGCGGCUUAAUUCGAUGCGACCCGAAGAACCUUACCUGGGUUUGACAUUAUGGGAAAAGCAGUAGAGAUACUGUGUCCGAAAGGGCUCAUAACAGGUGGUGCAUGGCUGUCGUCAGCUCGUGUCGUGAGAUGUUGGGUUAAGUCCCGCAACGAGCGCAACCCUUGUUCUAUGUUACCAGCGAGUUAAGUCGGGGACUCAUAGAAGACUGCCGGGGACAACUCGGAGGAAGGUGGGGAUGACGUCAAGUCCUCAUGCCCCUUAUAUCCAGGGCUGCACGCAUGCUACAAUGGUCGGUACAACGGGCUGCGAUCCCGCGAGGGUGAGCGAAUCCCUUAAAGCCGGCCUCAGUUCAGAUUGGAGUCUGCAACUCGACUCCAUGAAGUCGGAGUCGCUAGUAAUCGCGGAUCAGCAAAGCCGCGGUGAAUGCGUUCUCGGGGAUUGCACACACCGCCCGU